AACGAACGCUGGCGGCAUGCCUAACACAUGCAAGUCGAACGAGACCUUCGGGUCUAGUGGCGCACGGGUGCGUAACGCGUGGGAAUCUGCCCUUGGGUUCGGAAUAACAGUUGGAAACGACUGCUAAUACCGGAUGAUGACGUAAGUCCAAAGAUUUAUCGCCCAAGGAUGAGCCCGCGUAGGAUUAGCUAGUUGGUGAGGUAAAGGCUCACCAAGGCGACGAUCCUUAGCUGGUCUGAGAGGAUGAUCAGCCACACUGGGACUGAGACACGUCCCAGACUCCUACGGGAGGCAGCAGUGGGGAAUAUUGGACAAUGGGCGAAAGCCUGAUCCAGCAAUGCCGCGUGAGUGAUGAAGGCCUUAGGGUUGUAAAGCUCUUUUACCCGGGAUGAUAAUGACAGUACCGGGAGAAUAAGCUCCGGCUAACUCCGU
rnacentral:rRNA from 1 species